rnacentral:rRNA from 1 species
UACGGGGGGGGCAAGCGUUGUUCGGAAUUACUGGGCGUAAAGGGCUCGUAGGCGGCCAACUAAGUCAGACGUGAAAUCCCUCGGCUUAACCGGGGAACUGCGUCUGAUACUGGAUGGCUUGAAUCCGGGAGAGGGAUGCGGAAUUCCAGGUGUAGCGGUGAAAUGCGUAGAGAUCGGGAGGAACACCAGAAGCGGAGGCGACGACCUGGAUAGAUACUGACACUCAACUGCGAAAGCGUGGGGAGCAAACAGG